rnacentral:rRNA from 1 species
AUUGAACGCUGGCGGCAGGCUUAACACAUGCAAGUCGAGCGGGGUGAUGGUGCUUGCACUAUCACUUAGCGGCGGACGGGUGAGUAAUGCUUAGGAAUCUGCCUAUUAGUGGGGGACAACAUCUCGAAAGGGAUGCUAAUACCGCAUACGUCCUACGGGAGAAAGCAGGGGAUCACUUGUGACCUUGCGCUAAUAGAUGAGCCUAAGUCGGAUUAGCUAGUUGGUGGGGUAAAGGCCUACCAAGGCGACGAUCUGUAGCGGGUCUGAGAGGAUGAUCCGCCACGCUGGGACUGAGACACGGCCCAGAGUCCUACGGGAGGCAGCAGUGGGGAAUAUUGGACAAUGGGGGGAACCCUGAUCCAGCCAUGCCGCGUGUGUGAAGAAGGCCUUAUGGUUGUAAAGCACUUUAAGCGAGGAGGGGGCUCUUUUGGUUAAUACCCAAGAUGAGUGGACGUUACUCGCAGAAUAAGCACCGGCUAACUCUGUGCCAGCAGCCGCAGUAA